GACGAACGCUGGCGGCGCGCCUAACACAUGCAAGUCGAACGGAGUCACGAGGAGCUUGCUUUUCUUGACUUAGUGGCGCACGGGUGAGUAACGCGUGAGUAACCUGCCCUGGAGUGGGGGACAACAGUUGGAAACGACUGCUAAUACCGCAUAAGCUCACGGAGCUGCAUGGAUCUGCGGGAAAAGGAUUUAUUCGCUCUAGGAUGGACUCGCGUCAAAUUAGCUAGUUGGUGGGGUAACGGCCCACCAAGGCGACGAUUGGUAGCCGGACGGAGGGGUUGAACGGCCACAUUGGGACUGAGACACGGCCCAGACUCCUACGGGAGGGAGCAGUGGGGGAUAUUACACGAGGGGGGAAACCCUGAUGACGCGGCGCCGGGUGGAGGAAGAAGGUGUUCGGAUUGUAAACUCCUGUGGUUAGGGACGAUAAUGACGGUACCUAACAAGAAAGCACCAGCUAACUACGUG
rnacentral:rRNA from 1 species